rnacentral:snRNA from 1 species
AGAAUGACGUGAACCUGGGAGGCAGAGCUUGCAGUGAGCCAAGAUUGCUCCACUGCACUCCAGCCUGGGUGACAGAG